CAAUAUCGGCAGGGGGAAGGGCAGUGAGGAAUAUGCCUCAGUUCCUUCUGGGAAAAUAAUUUGCUAUUAAAUGGAAAGGAGCAGUGAAUGAAGAGGGAAAAGGCUGAGCUGAUUAAUCCAGGCUAAGAGACACCCUGGCUGGUGUCAGUGGGUGUUUUCCUGAUCUGGCCUGUGACCUCCUUGCUUCAGAAGGCCAUUCAGACUUCCUGACACUUUUCUUCCAAGGCACUGUCUUUCCUCUGCCCUGCUCACAGACCACUGCAGCCUCCUCCUCUCCAGCUCCUAGCCCUACUGCAGUCACCUCUUCUUCCUGCCCUGCUGACAAGACCCUCGCUGAGCACAGUCUCCGGAACAAAACGCCGUGUUCUCACACAGAUCUCACCCAAACUGCAAAAUCUACCGUGUGAUCACUUCCCCCUCUGUCCUGCUCCUCUUUGGUGAGGUGCUAGAGAUCCAGUUUUGCUGCUUGGACACAUACUGUCCUUUCUGAGCCAGCGGUCUGGCAGCAGCCCCUCUCCCCACCACAGGCAGAUGUUUCCAGUUCUUCCAUUUCCAUACCUCGAGGUUUAACACCUGAGCGAGACUGCUCCACAGAGCUGCUGCAGGCCACCUUGGACCAGCCUUCGCAGUCGGUCUUCACAACAGAGCCUUUGCCCAUCUACGAGAUGUGUUCAGUCGGGUGUUGGGUUUUCCUCCUGAAUGUUCACAAAACCAGUGAACGGCCCAGAACAGACACCUGUGCAACCUGAACAGAAAUAGCGUCACCCAGCCCAGGUUCCUGGGCUGCCCUUGGAGAUCAUCUGAUAACUGUGUUGACUCAUUUCACCUGGGAGUUAAGACUAUUGUAGAAGAUUGGCUUUGAAAUUAGAUAACAUUAAAGAUGCUUAGACUUAGAUGGUA